rnacentral:rRNA from 1 species
GCCGUAAACAUUGAUAGAUUAAUACAACCCCUAUCCGCCCGGGAACUACGAGCACCAGCUUAAAACCCAAAGGACUUGGCGGUGCUUUAGAUCCUACUAGAGGAGCCUGUUCUAGAACCGAUAACCCCCGUUCAACCUCACCUUUCCUUGUUUUUCCCGCCUAUAUACCGCCGUCGUCAGCCCACCCUAUGAAGGACUAAAAGUAGGCUAAAUUGGCACAGCCCAGAACGUCAGGCCGAGGUGUAGCGUAUGGAAGGGGAAGAAAUGGGCUACAUUCCCUAUAUUAGGGCACACGAAUGGUGUGCUGAAACGCACAUCUUGAAGGAGGAUUUAGCAGUAAGCAGGAAGUAGAGCGUUCUGCUGAAACUGGCUC